rnacentral:lncRNA from 1 species
ACUCGACUCGAUGAAGACAUCGACGAAGAUUCUUUUAAUCAAGUAGGUGCCGGCAUCAGUAGGGACGAAGCAAGAACUGUAGUCGUAGAUCAGUAAGUAAUCCCAUCAUCAGUCAGAGUCGUAGGUGAAGCAUGAGAGUAGAUCAGUAUUUUACUUUUUAUAUAGUUGCGAAUUCUGGCAACCCAAGCUAUGAGUGGUCCAAUUGAGUCCAAAAGUCUCUUUUGUAUAGCUGGCUAAAGUGGUUAAAUAGCUGGUGAAUCUAGCGAACUACUCUUUUUAUGUCAAUCUUCCCAACGGCGGAGACAGUGAGACUCUCUUUAAGACGUGUUAAGUCAUGCUUGUAGGGAGUGAAAUCCACUGUUGAGAGAAAGCCCCCGUAUGGAAAUAUUUCAUAUGUCCAUCAAGCAUGGUC